ACUGAGGGAGUGGAGCUCCUGACCCUGCACUAAGAAGGAACAUGGAUUCACCUCAUCUAAAGUCAGUAUUCUCUACUGUACAGGAAGGAACAUGGAUUCUUGUCAUAUUGCACACUGCAACAUUAGAUAGAAAAUCUUCUUGUAUAUAGUUUCACAUAGACCGUUUUAACCCUGAUUUAUCACGUAGUAACUUGAAUUAGAUCCCGUAUUGGGUCUAGAGUCAGAUGAAAACAUGUUGAGAAAAGCUGUCUUUCAGGGCUGAAGUCAUCUAGAUAUACUUAGAAAACGACCCGGUCUUGGAUUGGACUCAUUUUUAAAAUCGACAGGAUCCUCGUGAAGAAUUUCGACGUGUGUAUUUACACAACCAAUAAUGACACAGCCUUAACAGUAGUUGGUUUGUUGUGUGUGUCGCGUUCAUGUCUGUCUGUCUCUUGCCUUACAGUAUUAUAAGAGUGUCUUAGAAUGGUUUCCAGGUCUGUUUGUUCAUUGUAAUGUUUUGCACUAUAAUCCAUGACAGCUAGUUAAACUCCUAUGCUAAAAUGUGUGUGUUGGGGGGGGCAGGCAGUGUAAAAAAAAUAAAGUAUUAAAUUAGUUAGCAGCACUAAUAAUGAUGAAUAAAAACAAACCUUGUUUCAAUGUCGAACCCUAUCAGUACUAUUCAUUAGUGCACGCCGUAGCAAAACGUUGUUGCAACGGAGACAAGUUUUUCUGAUUGGACAAUUCGGGUAGUCCCCUGUUUCAGUCUGUUUUCUUCUGUUUUGGUGCCUAGUGACAACGUUUUUGAGCGGACAGAAGUGCAGUGGCUGAUGGGUAGUGUAGUUUUUGAGGCAUCUACGUACAGUUGCUAUGAAGACAGGAGGUAGCUACGUACAGUCACUAUGAAGACGGAGGUAGCUACGUACAGUCACUAUGAAGACAGGGGGCUACGUACAGUCACUAUGAAGACAGGAGGAGGUAGCUACGUACAGUCNNNNNNNNNNGCUACACUAUAUACACAACAGUAUGUAGACCCCUUUCAAAUGAGUGGUUUGGCUAUUUCAGCCACACCCGUUGCUGACAGGUGUAUAAAAUUGAGCACACAGCCAUGCAAUCUCCAUAGACAAUCAUUGGCAGUAGAAUGGCCUUACUGAAGAGCUCAGUGACUUUCAACGUGGCACCGUCAUAGGAUGCCACCUUUCCAACAACUCCGUUUCGUCAAAUUUCUGCCCUUCUAGAGCUUCCCCCGGUCAACUGUAAGUGCUG
rnacentral:lncRNA from 13 species